ensembl:snRNA U6 U6 spliceosomal RNA
GGGCUCGCUUCAGCAGCACAUAUACUAAAAUUGGACCAAUACAGAGAAGAUUAGCAUGGCCCCUGCACCAGGAUGACACACAAAUUCGUGAAGCAUUCCGUAUUUUU